CGGAGAAGAAGAGGGGACGUGGGGGGUUGAGCAGCAGCAGAAGGGUUUCCGAGGUUGGGAUCGGUGGAAAGGAGCCGUAGGAGGGGGGUUCGGCCGCCGCCGGGGCCGCCGGCAUGGCGGACACUUCUACAGCCCUCCGAAGAAGGCCCCCUGCAGCCGGCUGGUCCUGUGGUCUAAGAGGUUGUUCGUACGGUUCGACGAGUUCUGCGUCUUCAAGCGCAGGCUCGAACUGGUAGUCCACCUGUACAGUUUCCACUUCUACCUGCACUACUUCGGCACCUAACGGUGUGCCCAGUGGCUCGAAGAACCCAAGCUCCUGCUUCACGAAUAGUUGAAGUAGAUACCGGACGAGCUACGCUUCCUCCACCUGCCCUUCAUGUAUGUCUAGGUCGAAUGUCCCAAGUACCUCUUCUUGUGUUAUUUCAAGUACUCCCUCGACACCUCGGAGGAAGAGUCACGCGUCGUCUUACGAUCACCACACGGGGUCGUUAAAAACCUACGUUUCCUCCGACUCUAAGUCGUCUCUUUCCGCCUUCUCCGAUCUUAACGGGUCCUUUAGGUCUUCUUCGCUCUCUUUCUACCUUCCCUGUGCCUUGAUCUAUUUGUGUUUUACUACCGGCCCCUAUGACCAUUAAGUUCUAAAGUACCACUAAGUGAACCGAGACGAAAUUUGUUAGGGUUACAGCUACGACUCUUUCUUUUCCUUGACCUGAACUUCGUAUCGAGCUCUUGUUUCUCGGCCCUUGUAGCUUCUGGAUCCUCGUGUAGAAACAGCGGGGCACCAUCCGUUGCCAGAUAAAGAGGUUCCUCCGCGAGAGGUAGGGGAAGGUCCGUUUCUAGUAGUGCUGCAAGUCGAAGUGGAUCUGCAAGACAAAGGGGGGCUUCCGUAAGGGGUUCUUAGCGAGGAAGUUACAGAUCCGCCUCCAGUGGCAUAAGGUCUUCUAGUGGAAGUCAUGGAUCUAGGGGUAGUGGAGCCGCCUCUAAAGGGUAAUCCUCUUCUAGAGGUGGUAGACCCGCUGCAUCUAGUGGUAGAGGAAUAGCGGCAGCCAGGGGUCGAGCGCGUGGAUCCUCUAGUGGUAGAGGACGCGCAGCGUCUAGUGGAGGAGCUGUGUCUAAUGGUCGUCUAUCUGUGGCCAGGGGUAGUGGUCCUUCUGCGUCCGGUGCCAGGGGUAGUGGAGAUUCUGCGUCCGGUGCCAGGGGUAGUGGAUCUUCUGUAUCCGGUGCAAGAGGUCCUUCUGCCGUCAGGGACAGUGGAGUGGCGAGUGGCGUCAACUCCAGUGGUUUCGCGGUCUCUUUUAGGGGUUAAAGUUGAUCCUGCGAAAGACGUUUAGGAGGUCAGAGAGGUGGCGCCUCCUCCUCAUCGUCAGGUGUGUCGUCCUCAGGUUUAGUAAGUGCAUCCUCAAGCUCGUCCCUGCGUCUUUUCCCUUGUUUGCCACGUGGGAGGUGAUUUCCGUCCCUAGACCGAGUUUCCUUGGUUCUUUCCUCACCGGCUCCCAGUGGCCUAAAACUUGUGGCAUCCGAGUGUUUUAGGAACUCCAGAGGAUGAUUACUACGUCUUUCUCUGAGGUGUGCACUGUCAGGAAACUUCCUGUGACCCUUUGUAUACGGGUCAGUCCUGUCGUGUUUAUGGUCACCUCUGCUCCUUCUUUCGCCCGCACGUUCCCUCUUACGUGCCUUCCGGUUAAGUAGUGCGUCCUAUAGGUUCCUAAAGAGUCGACUAGACGUAGAUUUCCUUCAGUUGCAACUGUUGAGUCAGGGACCUCUUUUUGGGAGAAGGUCUAGUUCUGUCCUACCGCCCUUCCUACAGGGGUUCUUUAUACUAUUAGUCGAUAGUCUAAGUAGUCUUCUACGUGAACUACCAUCUUCUUACUUUGCGGUCCCACUAAGGGGACUACUAAGAGCGCACUUUGCCGUCAGGGGAUCAUCUCGACCGCUGAGAAUAGGUUUCCUACCCUAAUUGUUACUCGCACGGUUUUGCCUAAGUGUACCACGAAGAAUACUACGAUAACGUCGCUUCUUUAUGAGACCAUUUCAACUACUUCGAAGGGUUAGUCUACCACCUUCAGGAGAAGUUUUUCGAUUCUUUUCUUGUAUACUGUCAUUUGUGUAACUAGCAGCGUCAAGCCCGAGUCUUCUUAGACUCUUUGUGUCUAGGGUCAGACUCUUCGCUUCUGUAUUUUUCCCAGUGUUCGUAUUCUUCGUAAUACUACUAUCAAGACUAAGACUAAGACUGAGACUACUCAGGUUCUUCUCCUCCGCUCUUCUCUUUUUCGACGCUUUUCUCCUUUCCGCGGAAUCUGCACUUCUUGCCGUGGCGUCUUCCCGCCUGGCAGUACGGUCAUUUGUCUCUAACUUCAUACGACCAAGAGGGGACAGUCUAGAACUCUUCCUAGCAGUUAGACCGAGUCUGCGACUACAACCCUUCUUUCCAAGUAUGUGAGGCUCUCUUCUUGGACUGGGUUUGUUUGAACUUUAACUCGAAGCUGUCUCCCGGGAACUUAGAGAACGUUUCUUUAGUUUCGUACAAUAAUGAGGCAGAAGUCUACAGCUCUUCCUGGCACUUAGACUAAGCCUACGACUACAAUCCUUCUCUCAAAGUAUCCGACCGACUCUUCUUAGACUAUUUUUAUUUGAACUUCCCAACUCGAAGCCCUCUUCUGGGCACUUUGAUAUAUCUAGUUUCUUUCGACGGUUAGUGAUCCGACCCCUUAAAGAGCGUUACGUAAAUGUGCAAAGAUAUAAAGUUCUCGUAUAGAUAUACAAUGACUUCACACGAGUAUACUAUGGACAAAUUACAAGACAUACAAAUACACCGUCAACUAGACUCAUUAACUGCUAAGGACUCGACAAAGGAACAACGUCGACGAAAGUCCGAAUCGACGAAAAUAGACUAAUCGUGGUACACUUGUUCCAAAAAUACAUGGUCUCUAAAUUGUCGUGGAGUCGCUGUUGGUCGACCAACGUGGAAACUACUAACACUUUGAGAGGAUUUCACGAGGACAAAGCAAAACCAACGACGAGGAAUCUUACUCCAAACACGUCAUUCAAGAAAAAAAACACACACACCGAUACAGGACUACUUCGUUUACUUUAAAGAACAUUCGUAAACUUCCAACGAUUGAAGUGUGUCUUACGGGUACUCAUAAGAUGACAACUUACUUGUACUCAACAGGAAAAGAUAAAACACCAAGGAUCGUAAGUCCACGUUCAGAACCCGUCCUCAAUAUAAAGAAACAUGAGGGAGGUAAGGGAAUAUGUUCCGGUGAUAGUUUUUAUGUAAAACGUAGUUAUGUUCCGGUGGUUGUC
rnacentral:rRNA from 1 species